AUUGAACGCUGGCGGCAGGCCUAACACAUGCAAGUCGAGCGGAGCGGCGGACGGGUGGGUAAUGCCUAGGAAUCUGCCUGGUAGUGGGGGAUAACGUCCGGAAACGGGCCCUAAUACCGCAUACUAUCAGAUGAGCUUAGGGCGGAUUAGCUAGUUGGUGGGGUAAAGGCCUACCAAGGCGACGAUCCGUAACUGGUCUGAGAGGAUGAUCAGUCAGACGGGAACUGGGACACGGUCCAGACUCCUACGGGAGGCAGCAGUGGGGAAGAUUGGACAAUGGGCGAAAGCCUGAUCCAGCCAGGCGGCGUGUGUGAAGAAGGUCUUGGGAUGUAAAAGCACGUUAAGUUGGGAGGCGUUACCAACAGAAUAAGCACCGGCUAACUUCGUGCCAGCAGCCGCGGUAAUUC
rnacentral:rRNA from 1 species